AGAAAGAAGGAUGGGGAAAGAGAAUGAAGUGUUAAACCGGGGAAGGUCACCUCCCUCACAGCUGCAGCAACAGGAGGUCCUCCUGGGACCAGCAGAGCAAGCUGCGUUGCUUGCAUGGAGUUCAUGGUCUCCCAAAGGAGCCCUGGGGGGCAAGUGUCAUAGAGGGGAUCUCUGUGGAGAUGCAAUGACUGUAUGUUGCUUUGAGUUUGUAUAAACUUCAUCACUGCUUGGUCCAUAGGUUGCUCCUGCAAUAACAUGACAGGUGUGAGCAGCAUUCUGGGGGCUGACAGGAUCUGGGGGGAGCCCAUGGCACAAUUGUUUCAGGCAUGGAUGGGGCUGGAGAACCUUUAAUGGCACAGAGGCUUCAUCAGCCUCCACCAGCCUUCUGAGAAGGCCCUCUCAUCAGAAAGCAUGCCUCUAGGUCCCUGUCACUUGCAUUGCACCAUCCUGCUGGUUCUCCUCUCUCCCAGAGCUGUAGUCAUUUAAAACAGUAUUUAUCCCUGUUUUCCUUUAAACAGGUCAUGUCCCUCUGGCUGUCUUCUCUUCUGCAUUCAAUAAGGACAACUGUGAACAACUCCUGUCCACAGGGAAUAGCAGAAUAUCACCAAGUCAAGAUUUUUCUGCUUCAAGAUUUGUGGUGAGGCUUCUUGCUACAUAUUCCCACUGCCUUCAAGGAAGUUAAAUGAGAUCGUUCAUACAUCAUCACUAAACAGUCAUCUCCUGUGCACAAAUCCGCAUGAAUUCCCAUUCCACAAAUGGUUUCAAUAAGGCAGAUUCUGCAGUAACAUAAAUUGCUGUCAGACGAUGCUUGGAGGACAUGGCCAAGACUUGAGCAUCUCCCCAGGACCUGUAAAACAUUCAGCACCAUUUGUUACAGUGGGGACGAUGUAUCCGAAUAAAACGACAGGCAUUUUAUCAGGCUGGGAGAAUAAAAUCACUUCAGGAACCAG